rnacentral:rRNA from 1 species
CUACCAUGGCAGUCACGGGUAACGGAGAAUUAGGGUUCGAUUCCGGAGAGGGAGCCUGAGAAACGGCUACCACAUCUACGGAAGGCAGCAGGCGCGCAAAUUGCCCAAUCCCGACACGGGGAGGCAGUGACAAGAAAUAACAACUCUAGGUUUUCUUAGAAGUGUAAUGAGGAUAAUUUACAAACCUUACCAAAUGCAAUUGGAGGGCAAGUCUGGUGCCAGCAGCCGCGGUAAUUCCAGCUCCAAUAGCGUAUAUUAAAGUUGUUGCAGUUAAAAAGCUCGUAGUUGAAAAUCUGAUUGCUCAGGUCUCCAGCCUUUAGGCGGGGAUUCUGACAGUCAUCCGCUUGCAAACAUAUGUUCGAUCUUCACCGGUUGGCUAUGUGAGUAAGCACUUUACCUUGAGAAAAACAGAGUGUUCCGGGCAGGUUUGUCCGGAAUGCAUUAGCAUGGAAUAAUAGAACAUGACUGAAGUCUAUUUAUUGGUUAAAGGCUUUAGUAAUGAUUAAUAGGAACAGUCGGGGGCAUUCGUACUCAGCAGUCAGAGGUGAAAUUCUAAGAUUUGCUGAAGACGAACUAAUGCGAAAGCAUUUGCCAAGGAUGUUUUCAUUAAUCAAGAACGAAAGUUAGGGGAUC